rfam:Brassica napus, WGS project CCCW01000000 data, contig: 14680
UCUGGGAGUAUGAUGAAUCCCAUUAAACAAAUGGGUUAUUUGCCACUGAUUUUAUAUUGAUGUUUUAUUCACCUUGGAGAACUGAUUCCCAGA